AACGCAUAUUGCGCCUUAGUCUCGACGAGGGCAUGUCUGCCUCAGCGUCGGUUUAACCCUCAUUCCAUCCCCAUAUGGGGGAGCGCUUUGUCUUGCAAAGCCUUGGAAUGGAUCUGGCUCUCCCAAUUGCGGCCCUGUGCCCACUUGGGUUGGCUGAAGCAUAGAGGCUAGAGCUCGGACCCGCAUGGGCUUCAACUGGAUAGGUAGGCGGGCUUCGGCCUCAACUACACGUGUUGUUGCCUGUGGUCUUUGCUGGCGGCCCAAGCAGGAAAGCUGUGCUUUCGGGCACGGCUCACUUAAACUUUCGACCUGAGCUCAGGCAAGGCUACCCGCUGAACUUAA
rnacentral:misc_RNA from 1 species